rnacentral:lncRNA from 1 species
UGAGCUAUGGCCGAUUUUUUUUUCAUACUAAAAUACUCAUAUUAGGUCGAAAGGGACUAACUGUACAUGUAUUAUUGUGUUGUAAUGCUUGAAAUUCCUUUUUCAUAGCAUUCUUUCUUCCAUUUAUUAUCUUUAUCUUUAGAGGCUUGUUCUAUAACAAGCUAAUUCUAUUUCAACAUUUAUCUUUUAGAUAAUCUUUCAAAUUUCACUCAAGAUCAAAGCACAUCAGGCCCAAAUACCGCUUCAUCAGGGACCUGAUUGAAAAAGGAAGAUUUGGACCUGAGAAAAAUAACUGAAGAUUAGAAUGCUGCAAAUAUGCUUACCAAAACGACGAACAUGGAAAAGCUAAGGCUAUGCAUAACCUUAGUGGGCCUUCUUGAUUGCUGCUAAACAUGGAGAGGGUGUGAUGGUGGUCAACAUUUGUUGAUUAUUGAUGUUUAUAUAAUAGAGUGGAGACUGCUUAUUUAAUUGGUAUCCUUAUUGGGCCAAUUAUAGUCAUUAUAUGAGUCAAAUCUAAGAUGAUUAUACUUUCUCUAUGUAGAUAGCUAUGUAGUUACUGAAAACAGUGAGUCAAUAACAUUUGUAAUAGCUAGCCACCACCAAUUUUAAUGUGGCCACCAGAUAACUAACAGAAUGAACCCACUGGAAUCCUUGUAGAAAAUAUGUGUUUAUUACUUUUGUAGAACUGGUUGAGAAUUGAGAGCAUGUUUUUGUCUAUCACAGUCAUUACUCCAUCCAAAUACAAAAAUACUGACUAAUUUCUUUAUGUUUAAUCACUCAUCAGAGAUUGUCAAGGCAAAGCAUCCUAAAAUUACAUACGCAGAUUUAUAUCAGGUAGAAAAUUUAUCAUUUCAUAGUUUCUUUAACUUUUAACUCAUAUUAUGACACUUUUUAAAUGCUAUUUAUUUAUUUUACUAUUAAGUAGAUCUCUGUUUUGAUUAGAAUUAUUAAAAUGAGUAUAUUAAAUAGUAUGAAAUUUAUCAUCUAUUGAAAUGUGACAAACAGAAUUUUAUCUUGAUGAUCCUUCUAAAAAAACUUGGGAAACAGAUGAUCAUUAUAAAUUUUAUUUUUACCAAAAAUAACUUUUAAACAAUAUUGGAUGUAAUCUUAUUUUUGAUAGCCUAAUAAGAUAAUCACAAAUCAUGAAUAGCAGGUUGAAGUAUAGGAUAAUGAGAUAAUCUAUAUAUUAAAGAAUCCCUAUAAAUUAACUUCAAAACAGCGGAAUGAAGAGGAAAGAUACCAAAUCUCCAAUAGAAAAAUCUGGUAAAAUCUAUGACAUGAAGUCUCAAUGGGAAACCUUAUCACAAUCUUUGACACUGUAAAAACAGUUGUUAACAUUUUCUUAUUUUCCUAGAAAGCUUCUGCAAUGAUAGAUUCCUAAAAGUAUCCUGGUGUCAGUUUUUAAGAAUACGACUUUCUAAUUUCCAUAAAUCACAAUUCAAAAACAAAUACAAUCUUAGUCUAUAGUUGAAAAAUAAAAUCUUUACUCCAUAUGUGAUUUGACAACUUUAAGAAAUCAUGCUGGCUCAUCGAUAUAUAAAUCCAAAACACUGCAUGAUUUCUUAUUGUUGUGAUAUCUAUACUUGUGAGAAAAAAGAAACUAUCUUUUGAAAAGUUUAGUUUGUGAAAUGUAAAAACACUCUCAACUUACGUUAUGGAUAAUAUCCCUCUUUUUACUUUUGUUCAUAUUUGAAAUUAUGAUGGUCAUUUGCUUCUAUUUGGUUGUAGAUACCUGUAUUGAUUGAUAGUUUGUAGUAAGAAAAUAAUAUAAACGUUAUUUAAAAUGUUCUAAUUUUCAGCUUGCUGGAGUUGUCGCUGUUGAGGUCACUGGGGGUCCAACAAUUGAAUUUGUUCCAGGAAGAAAGGUGGGCUAUCUUCUAGGAUUUUAUUUCCAUCAUAUAAACCGAUGGUACAAUGUUUUAUAUCCUUUACAGUGAUAAUUAUUCAAUUAUAGCUAAUUGGGGCCCUUUUGUUUUCCUAUCAGGAUUCUUUAGUUUCACCUAGGGAGGGAAAUCUUCCUGAUGCUAAACAAGGUAUGUGGAAUUGUGUAUUGUAUUUUGGUGUAAUUGAUUAAUGGUAGUUGUUAUGAUUUUUGUUAUAACCACAAAUCUUUCAUAAAUCAUAACUUAUGUUUAGCCUGAAUACUUAUUUUUAUCAUGUGAUCCUAUUGUAAAUGCACUUUUCUACAUCAGUGUGAACUGUGAAAACUUGCUUGCUGCUGUAUUUACUUUCAGACACUCCCUUUAUUGUUUUUUAACAUUAUAUUUCUUAAAAUUUUUUACAACAUUUCCCUAAGCAUGUCUAAACCUUAUUAUUGUAUAGGUUAAUUAAUAAAUGUAUUAUUAUUAUAGGCACUGAACAUCUGAGAGAAAUAUUUUACCGAAUGGGUCUGUCAGACAAGGAUAUUGUUGCAUUAUCCGGUGCCCACACUUUGGUAGUUGUUUCAAAGAAUUUUUUUCAUGGAUUUCUAGAUUCAAACUGGUAUUUUAACUUUUAAUCAAUAUUGUUGCAUUUUUUCCCGACACAUUUUUGUAUGUAAAGGGGAGAGCGCAUCAGGAAAGGUCUGGUUUCGAAGGUCCUUGGACAAAGGAACCUCUGAAGUUUGACAAUACAUACUUUGUGUAAGAUCAAUACAAAACUCUGAUAAUUGUUUAAUAUGUUUAAACUUCAGACAGAGGAUUUGACUUAAAAUGCCCAAUUGGGGUUCCUUACUACAAAAUGGUCAUUAUUUCUUCUCAUAGGGAACUGCUGGAAGGAGAAAAGAAAGGACUUUUAAAGCUACCAACGGACAAUACUUUACUGCAUGAUCCUGCAUUCCGUGGUUAUGUUGAACUGUAUGCAAAGGUACUUGAAUAAAAUAGCUUAUGUUUUUGGAAAUUAAAAACUAAACAUAUUUGUGGUUUAACACAACACAGGAUGAAGAUGCAUUUUUUAGGGAUUAUACCGUAUCCCAUAAGAAGCUCUCUGAACUUGGCUGCUUUGCUCCGACAUCCAACAAAGCAGAUUCAAAUGGUUUUUUGGUUCAUAGUGCUUUUGGAGUUGCC